UACGUAGGGCGCAAGCGUUAUCCGGAAUUAUUGGGCGUAAAGAGCUCGUAGGCGGUUUGUCGCGUCUGCCGUGAAAGUCCGGGGCUCAACUCCGGAUCUGCGGUGGGUACGGGCAGACUAGAGUGAUGUAGGGGAGACUGGAAUUCCUGGUGUAGCGGUGAAAUGCGCAGAUAUCAGGAGGAACACCGAUGGCGAAGGCAGAUCUCUGGGCCGUAACUGACGCUGAGGAGCGAAAGCAUGGGGAGCGAAACAGG
rnacentral:rRNA from 1 species